rnacentral:rRNA from 1 species
UUUUUAUACACACCAAGUAUGUUACAGAAUGUUUAUUUAAACGAGGCUUAAUUGCCUUUGAAACUUUAUACAACUUUCAACAACGGAUCUCUUGGCUCUCGCAUCGAUGAAGAACGCAGCGAAAUGCGAUAAGUAAUGUGAAUUGCAGAAUUCAGUGAAUCAUCGAAUCUUUGAACGCACCUUGCGCUCCUUGGUAUUCCGAGGAGCAUGCCUGUUUGAGUGUCAUGAAAUUCUCAACCUUUUCAAUUUUUCUUUCAAAGUUGAUAAGGCUUGGAUAGUGGGAGUGUUUGCCGGCUUCUCAGAGGUCUGCUCUCCUUAAAUGUAUUAGCAGAGGAUCCUUGUAAUGCCUUGGUGUGAUAAUUAUCUACGCCAUAACAUGACAGGUGGAUAUACUGCUUCCAAUUGUCUCUAUCAUGAGACCUCUUGACAA